rnacentral:rRNA from 1 species
GAUGAACGCUGGCGGCGUGCCUAAUACAUGCAAGUCGAGCGAACAGACGAGGCGCUUGCUCCUCUGACGUUAGCGGCGGACGGGUGAGUCACACGUGGAUAACCUACCUAUAAGACUGGGAUAACUUCGGGACACCGGAGCUUAUACCGGAUAAUAUAUUGAACCGCAUUGUUCAAUAGUGAAAUACGGUUUUGCUGUCAGUUGUGGAUGGAUCCGCGCCUCAUUAGCUAGUUGGUAAGGUACCGGCUUACCAAGGCAACGAUGCGUAGCCGACAUGAGAGGGUGACACGCGACAUGGGGACUGAGAGACGGCCCAGACGGGAAUGGGCGGCAGUGGGGGAGAAUAUUGCAGAAUGGGCGGAAGCGUGAUAUAGAAACGUCGCGUGCGGGAAGCUGGGUUUCGGGGGGUAAACAGCUGUCGACGGAGACGAAGAGGUAGUGACGGUAACUGGUAAAGAAGCACCGGCUAACUACGUG